AAUGAACGCUGGCGGCAUGCCUAACACAUGCAAGUCGAACGAGAACUUCGGGUCUAGUGGCGCACGGGUGCGUAACGCGUGGGAACCUGCCCUUAGGUUCGGAAUAACUCUCAGAAAGGGGUGCUAAUACCGGAUAAUGUCUUCGGACCAAAGAUUUAUCGCAUUUGGAUGGGCCCGCGUUGGAUUAGCUAGUUGGUAGGGUAAAAGCCUACCAAGGCGACGAUCCAUAGUUGGUCUGAGAGGAUGAUCAGCCACACUGGGACUGAGACACGGCCGAGACUCCUACGGGAGGCAGCAGUGGGGAAUAUUGGACAAUGGGCGAAGGCCUGAUCCAGCAAUGCCGCGUGAGUGAUGAAGUCCUUAGGGUUGUAAAGCUCUUUUACCCGGGAUGAUAAUGACAGUACCGGGAGAAUAAGCUCCGGCUAACUCCGUG
rnacentral:rRNA from 1 species